AACUUUCAACAACGGAUCUCUUGGCUCUCGCAUCGAUGAAGAACGCAGCGAAAUGUGAUAAGUAAUGUGAAUUGCAGAAUUCAGUGAAUCAUCGAAUCUUUGAACGCACCUUGCGCUCUCUGGUAUUCCGGAGAGCAUGUCUGUUUGAGUGUC
rnacentral:rRNA from 1 species